UACAGAGGGUGCAAGCGUUAAUCGGAAUUACUGGGCGUAAAGGGUGCGUAGGCGGUUAUAUAAGUUAGAUGUGAAAUCCCCAGGCUUAACCUGGGAACUGCGUUUAAUACUGUGUAGCUAGAGUACUGAAGAGGUUAGUGGAAUUUCCAGUGUAGCGGUGAAAUGCGUAGAUAUUGGAAGGAACACCAGUGGCGAAGGCGACUAACUGGUCAAAUACUGACGCUGAGGCACGAAAGCGUGGGGAGCAAACAGG
rnacentral:rRNA from 1 species